UAAGCAUAUCAAUAAGCGGAGGAAAAGAAACCAACAGGGAUUGCCCUAGUAACGGCGAGUGAAGCGGCAACAGCUCAAAUUUGAAAUCUGGCUCUCGGGCCCGAGUUGUAAUUUGUAGAGGAUACUUUUGAUGCGGUGCCUUCCGAGUUCCCUGGAACGGGACGCCAUAGAGGGUGAGAGCCCCGUCUGGUUGGAUGCCAAAUCUCUGUAAAGUUCCUUCGACGAGUCGAGUAGUUUGGGAAUGCUGCUCUAAAUGGGAGGUAUAUGUCUUCUAAAGCUAAAUACCGGCCAGAGACCGAUAGCGCACAAGUAGAGUGAUCGAAAGAUGAAAAGCACUUUGAAAAGAGAGUUAAAAAGUACGUGAAAUUGUUGAAAGGGAAGCGUUUAUGACCAGACUUGGGCUUGGUUAAUCAUCUGGGGUUCUCCCCAGUGCACUUUUCCAGUCCAGGCCAGCAUCAGUUUUCGCCGGGGGAUAAAGACUUCGGGAAUGUGGCUCUCUUCGGGGAGUGUUAUAGCCCGUUGUGUAAUACCCUGGCGGGGACUGAGGUUCGCGCAUCUGCAAGGAUGCUGGCGUAAUGGUCAUCAACGACCCGUCUUGAAACACGGACCAAGGAGUCGUCUUCGUAUGCGAGUGUUCGGGUGUCAAACCCCUACGCGUAAUGAAAGUGAACGCAGGUGAGAGCUUCGGCGCAUCAUCGACCGAUCCUGAUGUUCUCGGAUGGAUUUGAGUAAGAGCAUACGGGGCCGGACCCGAAAGAAGGUGAACUAUGCCUGUAUAGGGUGAAGCCAGAGGAAACUCUGGUGGAGGCUCGCAGCGGUUCUGACGUGCAAAUCGAUCGUCAAAUAUGGGCAUGGGGGCGAAAGACUAAUCGAACCUUCUAGUAGCUGGUUUCCGCC
rnacentral:rRNA from 1 species